CUCACUUUUUUUUCCACAUAAAUAUUUUCCCUUUCUUCCCCCUCUCUUCAUAAUCUCUCGAUGUGGGAGUUUUUCAACAUCUCAUCAAAGAUGAAAGCCAGACACAAAUUUCCACAGCGAGGAGGUCUGCUUGAAAGCAGAGGCCGAAAUGGAAGCUCAGAAAGCGAUCAGAGCUGGAGCUUUGUGAUGUUGUUUGGUGAUGGUUGAUGUGAACUGGGCGCUAUCCUAGCUGAGCUUUUUCAUUCUUUUUUUUUUUUUGUUUUUUUUUUCAUUUCGUUUCCUUUUUCGUCAAAUUCUUUUCUUUCUUUCUUGACCUUGUAAGACCUUUUCUUGACCUUGUAAGAUGUCACGCCGGGUCUGUUGUCUUCGUUUGUUGUUUUGGUCCAAGCUCUGUGUGAGAAUUAUCUCAUGUAGAGCUUGGCCAGCGUUCCUCCUUGUUGCCGCCCAACUCAUCUUCUCCUUCCUUGUCUAUCCCUCCUGAGCUGUUCCACAAUUAUUUGAUGAAGUUAAUUAUAUGAAGCCCACCAUAGCAAAUUUCCAUAAAACUCAAGGACCUGUUUGCAACAAACACUAUCUCAACUCAAGCUUGGUUCAUGCAAUUAAAUUCCACUUGGGUCAGGGAAAUGCUGAUUGUGUGUGUGUGUGUGGUCCUCCAUGUGUCAUUAUAGAAAAAGAAUAAAAAUGCAAAUUACCCUAAUAUAUAUUUAUUAUUAUCACUUCCUGCUACUAGCCUCCUCUGCUGUUACUAUUAUUCUGUUAAAAGAACCAUCAAUUUCAAUAUUGUAUUAUUGGAUAUGCAGAAAUAUGCUGUUGCAGACAGAGAGAGAGAGAGAGAGAGAGAGAGAGAGAGAGAGAGAGAGGCAUCAGUUUCGUUGUUUUAUAUGUUGUUGGCUGAGAAAGUAGGAGAAUAUAUUUUCUCUCAGAUCUCUGUAAGAAGAGUUGAACUCGUGACUGCUCUGCUCCAUUGUACAAAAUAUAUCUAUCCACUGUAUUAUUAUUAUUGGAGAGUGGAGACCCGCUUUCUCCUUUUUCUUCUCUAAA